CGCGGUGACGUGAGCGGUUCGCUGCCCGCGACAUCGCGAGAAGUCCACUGAACCUUAUCAUUUAGAGGAAGGAGAAGUCGUAACAAGGUUUCCGUAGGUGAACCUGCGGAAGGAUCAUUG
rnacentral:rRNA from 1 species